AUUUUGCGUUCAGCCCCCUGGGGUUCAGUUUCUACGCCUUGACUCGUACAGUUCAUAACGUCACUUGACCAGUAGAACAGUCCACUUCGUGUUUGCCACAACAUGCAGAGUCGGAAUGAGUGAUUGGCCCGUAAAUAACUUCCUGUUUGAACUAUAAAGUGACUUACUUACUUCAGCCAUAAUGUUGUCAAAGGGCAGAUUUAUCAAAAAAAAAAACAAUGCUUCCAUUAUAUUACAUUACAGUUUUUCUAUGUGCUAUUAUAGAACUUACUGGUCGAAUCUUUGGCAUCAUGAAGACUAAAAAACAACGCCAAAUCUAAUUUCUGCCUGCGCACUUUCUUGUCUUGCGCAGUGCGCGCUGCUCUUCGCCGUCCGAUUCAACGCGUGGCUCACAGAGUCACAACGGGUCUCCACCUUAUCCACUCAGCGGCCACGCACAGCGCCACACCACUCUCACCCCCGACUCUUCCUCUCACACACAGGCACGCAGCGGCCGGCGCCUGCGCCUCCGCCUCGCCUCUUGCCGGCUGCCGCUGCUCUCCUCGGCCCCUCUUGCCGCUGCUGCCUGCUGCAAAUUCGGCAAGCCCCCUCCAGCACCCGCCACCGUGCCGCCGCGCCACGGAGGAAGACAGCUGCGGGCCGCGCCACCACACGAAGAAUAGGGCAGCGGCCACGCCGCCGUGAAGGAGAAGGAGGGCGGCGCUCUACCGCGGGGAGGAGAGCUAGGCCACCACACCGUCGCCGAGCCACGGAGGAGAGGCUACUGCGGCCCCGCGCAAGAGGAGAAUACGGGCACGCCGCUGUGGAGAGGCCAGCCGUGCCGCCGUGCAGGAGGAGGGCGGCACUCCACCAUGGGGGAGGCUGUGGAGUAGAAGAUAGGGAGAAGCCCUGCGCUGCUUGCGGUGCGGCGGUAUAAGCGGUCGAAGUUGCCUCGGCUCCCGUGGACGUCCGACCUCCACAUGACCUUCAUCCAUGCUGUCGAGAGGCUUGGUGGACAAGAGAGUAAGUGUACCUUGUGCUUGAUUUAUACUGGUACUGAGUUGCCAUCAUUUCUUGCGAUCGAUUACGGCACUCUGAAAUCUCAUGAUUUGCUUGCAACGUCUAGCUUUUUAAUUUCCCUUUGAUUGAUGUGAUAACAUAGGAGCGACCCCUAAGCUAGUGCUUCAGUCUUCAGAUGAUGAAUGUUAGGGGGCUCAGCAUUACUCAUGUGAAAAGCCAUUUGCAGGUAAAAGAUACUAGAAUUACAAUUAGUUGGCCUCACAAUACUAGAUUACUGGUACUUUCUCAAUUUCACUCCCAUCGAUUCACAGGGUAAUGAACUAAUUAGUUUGGCUUGCUUGUGAUCAGAGAAUUCACAGGGUACUUUCUCAAAAGACAACUUUCCCCUCUGCUAUGCUUGUGUUAGUAACCAUGGUGUUAGUUUGGCUUGCAUAAGCAAGAUUUUUUUUUCUGGACAACUUUUGCUGCAAUUCAUUGCGUAUUUUGGUGGAAUUUUCUAACUAGGGUAGCAAUGUGAACUGAACACCUCAAUUAUCUCAAGCUGAUGGGACUCAUGUUUUGCACUGUAUUUUGAUUAUAUUAGGAUGCAACUGCAGAAAGUAUAUCCCAUUCUGCUUAAAUUUUGAUGAAAUGAUUUUGGCAUGCUUGAGCAAACAAGAUUGAAAUGCAAGUAAUUUAUUUUACGCUCAGAUUAAGUGAAUCACUUGGGUAUUUCUAUUUGUUGAAAUGGAUGUAGUUUCUGUAACUGUUUUAAGUCUUUUUGGUAGCAUUGGAUGCCUGGAUGUAGUCAUUGACUGCUUUAGAUGUCCUCAUCUCUUUCUCCCCUCCUUAUCUCUUUCACUUGUUUCUCUUCCUCUCGUGAGGGCCUCUAUGUGAGUCGCCGCCACCACCACCCUCCUCUGCGGGAGCUGCCGCUGCACACCGCCUUCCUUCCCCCCGCCCUUCAUCCCGUGAGGGCCUCCGCACCAGGCCGCCGCUGCCACCUCCCUCCUCCGCGUGAGCCGCUGUCAGGGUCACCUCCCUCCGCAAACCAAUGCCGCCUCCCUCUUCCGCUUGUGCAGCGGCCGCCUCCUUCCUUGCUGUUGCAUCGCCGGCGAUGGCAGGAAGGUUGCACAGGCUCCGGGGCAGGAGGGAAGAAGGGGGUAGGCGGUGCCGGCAUCCGGACCUGGUGUUGUUGUUCAAGUGGGGGUGAUGUGUGGUGACGAGGUGGAGGUGCAGUUGGUGCUGGUUGGCCAGGAUGGGGUGGUUGUGUUUACCCUUGUAUGUGUUGAUCACCACAGCGGCAUCCUGGUUUCAGGCCAGGUGGGUGUACAAAGCUGGAUGGGUAGCGGAGCUAUGCAGAGUUUUGAAAAAAAAAUUAUGGAUGUAGGAGGCGCAUGGAAUUUAGUUCUACAUAAUACAUCAAGUAGUUAAUUACAUGCUCGUUUAGUUCUGAGAUUUACACCAAUUAGUUAAUUAGCUCCAGCAAUUUGUGCUCUUAUGCUGACGUGUAUAUGUGAAAUAAAAAUCCAGUUGUAGUAACUUCUUGAUGUGUACGUGUUUAUCUUUUCUAUUGGAGUAAAUUUUGUCGCUGCUA